rnacentral:rRNA from 1 species
CUACGGGUUGCUCCAGUGAGGAAUUUUGCGCAAUGGGGGAAACCCUGACGCAGCAACGCCGCGUGAGCGAAGAAGGCCUUCGGGUCGUAAAGCUCUGUCAAGUGGGAAAAAAAUUCUUUGAUGAACAGUCAAAGGACUUGAUGGUACCACUGGAGGAAGCACCGGCUAACUCCGGGUGCCAGCAGCCGCGGUAAUACGGAGGGUGCAAGCGUUGUUCGGAAUUACUGGGCGUAAAGAGCGUGUAGGCGGUUUGACAAGUCAGAUGUGAAAGCCCCGGGCUCAACCCGGGAAGUGCAUUUGAAACUGUUUCACUAGAGUAUGGGAGAGGAGAUUGGAAUUCCUGGUGUAGAGGUGAAAUUCGUAGAUAUCAGGAGGAACACCCGUGGCGAAGGCGAUUCUCUGGACCAAUACUGACGCUGAGACGCGAAAGCGUGGGGAGCAAACAGGAUUAGAUACCCCGGUAGUC